UGUUUCUAUGAUGACAAUUUGGCUCCCUCUUCUGAAAUUUAAUGAGGAAAAUUGCCAUCGUUACCCAUUCUUGUCUGAGAUUCA